UACAGAGGGUGCAAGCGUUAAUCGGAAUUACUGGGCGUAAAGCGUGCGUAGGCGGUUGCGUAAGUCAGAUGUGAAAGCCCCGGGCUCAACCUGGGAAUUGCAUUUGAGACUGCGUAGCUAGGGUGCGGAAGAGGGAAGCGGAAUUUCCGGUGUAGCGGUGAAAUGCGUAGAUAUCGGAAGGAACACCAGUGGCGAAGGCGGCUCCCUGGUCCAGCACCGACGUUCAGGCACGAAAGCGUGGGGAGCAAACAGG
rnacentral:rRNA from 1 species